GAACGUACGCUGGCGGCACGCCUAACACAUGCAAGUCGAACGAAGUAGCAAUACUUAGUGGCAGACGGGUGAGUAACAUGUAGGUAUCUACCCUUUGGCCUGGAAUAACACGAGGAAACUUGUGCUAAUACCGGAUAAGUCUUUACGGAGAAAGCUUUAUGCACCAUUGGAUGAGCCUGCACUUGAUUAGUUUGUUGGUGGGGUAAUGGCCUACCAAGACUGUGAUCAAUAGCUGAUUUGAGAGGAUGAUCAGCCACAUUGGGACUGAGACACGGCCCAAACUCCUACGGGAGGCAGCAGUGGGGAAUCUUGCACAAUGGAGGAAACUCUGAUGCAGCGAUGCCGCGUGAGUGAAGAAGGCCCUUGGGCUGUAAAGCUCUUUCGUCGGGGAAGAAAAUGACUGUACCCGAAUAAGAAGGUCCGGCUAACUUCGUGCCAGCAGCCGCGGUAAUACGAAGGGACCUAGCGUAGUUCGGAAUUACUGGGCUUAAAGAGUUCGUAGGUGGCUGAAAAAGUUAGUGGUGAAAUCCCAGAGCUUAACUCUGGAACUGCCAUUAAAACUUUUCAGCUAGAGUAUGAUAGAGGAAAGCAGAAUUUCUAGUGUAGAGGUGAAAUUCGUAGAUAUUAGAAAGAAUACCAAUUGCGAAGGCAGCUUUCUGGAUCAUUACUGACACUGAGGGAACGAAAGCAUGGGUAGCGAAGAGGAUUAGAUACCCUCGUAGUCCAUGCCGUAAACGAUGUGUGUUAGACGUUGGAAAUUUAUUUUCAGUGUCGCAGCGAAAGCGAUAAGCACACCGCCUGGGGAGUACGACCGCAAGGUUAAAACUCAAAUGAAUUGACGGGGACCCGCACAAGUAGUGGAGCAUGUGGUUUAAUUCGAAGAUACGCGCAGAACCUUACCAACACUUGACAUGUUCGUCGCGACUCUAAGAGAUUAGAGUUUUCGGUUCGGCCGGACGAAACACAGGUGCUGCAUGGCUGUCGUCAGCUCGUGUCGUGAGAUGUUGGGUUAAGUCCCGCAACGAGCGCAACCCUCACUUUUAGUUGCCAUCAUUAAGUUGGGCACUCUGAAAGAACUGCCAGUGAUAAGCUGGAGGAAGGUGGGGAUGACGUCAAGUCCUCAUGGCCCUUACGUGUUGGGCUACACACGUGCUACAAUGGUAUCUACAACAGGAAGCAAGACUGCGAGGUCAAGCAAAUCCUUAAAAGAUACCUCAGUUCGGAUUGCACUCUGCAACUCGAGUGCAUGAAGCUGGAAUUACUAGUAAUCGUGGAUCAGCGUGCCACGGUGAAUGCGUUCCCGGGUCUUGUACACACCGCCCGUCACACCAUGGGAGUUGGUUCUACCUUAAGGCAAGGUUUAAAACCCUUGACCACGGUAUAGUCAGCGACUGGGGU
rnacentral:rRNA from 1 species